rnacentral:rRNA from 1 species
CUACGGGGUGCUCCAGUGGGGAAUAUUGCACAAUGGAGGAAACUCUGAUGCAGCAACGCCGCGUGGAGGAUGACACUUUUCGGAGCGUAAACUCCUUUUAUAUAGGAAGAAGAUGACGGUACUAUAUGAAUAAGCGCCGGCUAACUCCGUGCCAGCAGCCGCGGGUAAUACGGAGGGCGCAAGCGUUACUCAGAAUCACUGGGCGUAAAGAGCGUGUAGGCGGAUUAAAAAGUCAGAAGUGAAAUCCUAUAGCUUAACUAUAGAACUGCUUCUGAAACUCUUAAUCUAGAAUAUGGGAGAGGUAGAUGGAAUUUCUGGUGUAGGGAUAAAAUCCGUAGAGAUCAGAAGGAAUACCGAUUGCGAAGGCGAUCUACUAGAACAUUAUUGACGCUGAGACGCGAAAGCGUGGGGAGCAAACAGGAUUAGAUACCCCGGUAGUC